UGAGCAAUCUGCCCUUCUCUUCGGAAUAAGCGUUGGAAACGACGUCUAAUGCCGAAUACGACCUCCUUUCGCAUGAUUGGAGGUGGAAAGCUCCGGCGGAGAAGGAUGAGCUCGCGGCCUAUCAGCUAGUUGGUGUGGGUAAUGGCCCACAAGGCGACGACGGGUAGCCGGCCUGAGAGGGUGACCCGGCCACACGUGGGACUGAGACACCGGCCCAGACCUCCGUACGGGAGGNAGCG
rnacentral:rRNA from 1 species